UACAGAGGGUGCAAGCGUUGUUCGGAAUUACUGGGCGUAAAGCGCGUGUAGGCGGUCCGAUAAGUCAGAUGUGAAAUCCCUCAGCUUAACUGAGGAACUGCAUCUGAUACUGUCAGACUUGAGUAUCGGAGGGGAUGGCGGAAUUCCUGGUGUAGAGGUGAAAUUCGUAGAUAUCAGGAGGAACACCUGUGGCGAAGGCGGCCAUCUGGAAGAUUACUGACGCUGAGACGCGAAAGCGUGGGGAUCAAACAGG
rnacentral:rRNA from 1 species